UACGAAGGGAGCUAGCGUUGUUCGGGAAUCACUGGGCGUAAAGCGCACGUAGGCGGAUGUGUCAGUCAGGGGUGAAAUCCUGGAGCUCAACUCCAGAACCUGCCUUUGAUACUGAGAUCUUGAGUUCGGGAAGAGGUGAGUGGAACUGCGAGUGUAGAGGUGAAAUUCGUAGAUAUUCGCAAGAACACCAGUGGCGAAGGCGGCUCACUGGCCCGAUACUGACGCUGAGGCACGAAAGCGUGGGGAGCAAACAGG
rnacentral:rRNA from 1 species